GGAGAGGUGGCAGAGUGGUUGAAUGUACCUGACUCGAAAUCAGGCGUACGGUAGCCCCGUACCGCGGGUUCGAAUCCCGCCCUCUCCGCCA
rnacentral:tRNA from 1 species